rnacentral:lncRNA from 1 species
UUUUAUGGUGUAGUUUGAAAGUGAGGAGAGUCUUUAUUAGAAGGUUAGAAAUAUGACACAAAAAGGAAAAGUAUUUAUGGUUUUUUUAAUGCUCAUAAUCGAUUAUGCAUUAGGUUUAUCGAUUAUGUGCUUCAUAAAAAUGACAAUUCUAAUUCCCAAAAGGAAAAAUCUAUAACCUCUACUAUAAUAAUCAAUUAGGAGUGUUCAUAAUUGAUUGAGAAGCUUUAUGAAUUUCUCUAAUUGAUUAACUAAUGGUACUACUCGAUUAGGCAAUGUAUAUAAGCGUCAUAAAUUUAGGAACACCCUUU